rnacentral:piRNA from 1 species
UAGCAAUGGUUAUUAACCAGGUUGAAAUGGC